rnacentral:rRNA from 1 species
UUUCCUACGGGGGGCAGCAGUGGGGAAUAUUGCACAAUGGGGGAAACCCUGAUGCAGCGACGCCGCGUGAGUGAAGAAGUAUCUCGGUAUGUAAAGCUCUAUCAGCAGGAAAGAUAAUGACGGUACCUGACUAAGAAGCCCCGGCUAACUACGUGCCAGCAGCCGCGGUAAUACGUAGGGGGCAAGCGUUAUCCGGAUUUACUGGGUGUAAAGGGAGCGUAGACGGCAGCGCAAGUCUGGAGUGAAAGCCCGGGGCCCAACCCCGGGACUGCUUUGGAAACUGCCAUGCUAGAGUGCUGGAGAGG